CUGGGGCCCUCAGCAAGGCUUCGGCUGGCCUUCUCGGAGUUGGGGUCUGGCCCUCUUUGGAGAGUGGGGGUGACCGGCCUCCGCUCGUCUGCACCCCCGGGUGUCAUGCAGGAGGCAGGCGGGCAUGGGAUCUCUCUGGGAAGCACUGCCCUACAGUAAGAAGCAUAUCUGACAGCCUUGUGCAAGAGAAUUGGAGAAAAAUAGUGAAACAACCAAAAAGGCCAACAGGAAGCACAAUAUCAGGAAGAGGAACUGGGAACAAGAAUGAGGACAAGCUUAUUCAAGAGGAUGGGCCCAGUAAUGGGGAACAUCAAGAGAUAUGCCCAAGAACAGUGUCAUCUACUUGUGGAUUCAAAGAAUCUCAAGAAACACCUUCAGGUGACAUUGCCCAGAAUCUUAAAUUAGAGAAAUCUCAAGACAACCCCUUGAAGAUUGGGGGCUGGGUACCUCUCCCAGACUGUGAACUCACUGGCCACAGGAAACCUGUGCCUGGUGAGAGACCCUACAGCCACACUGACUGUGGCAAGAGCUUCCAGCAUAGUUACUCUCUGACUCGUCAUCUUCAAACUUCACAGUUUACAGAAGGAUUUAGGGAGGUGGUAGGCAAAGGUACGUUACUGAAAUGCGGGUAUGUUCUCGGCAUGGACAACGAUAAUAUUAAGU